CUCACCUGAACAUGCAUAACUGGGGGUGCUGUUUAGUGGAUAGGUGAGUGCGCUGGAUCUUGUGCAUUAUAUAUAUAUAUAUGAAAGCCAAACACCUACAUAAUACCUUUUUGUGCACUCAUAGGGUCGACUACAUUAAACAAUGGGUAGACUACAUUAAACAAUGGUCAGAGACACUGUUUAAAUCUGUAUACAGAUUGCAGUCAAUUUCUUGUAUUUAGCUCAUUUUGAUUUAGAUGAAUUAACUCAGCUGGCUAUCAGUUCAGUAAUUAAAUUUGCUCAUCUGGCUAAGAACAGGAAACAACUAAACAGUGGUAUAUUUACACUAUGUAAGCUUUUUUAGGGGUAUCUCAAAGCAAACGUUUAUUUUCUUGAUUGAUACGACCACAAAUAAAAUAUAAAAACUAGACAUAUAUGCAUUCCAAAACGGAUAAUCAUUUCACUUGGUAUAUUGUAUUUUCGCUACAUAAUUUGUAUGUUGUACUGUUUCCAGAUAGAUAGAUUUGUGAUACUAUUUAUUUUGCAGAUGGCUAAUAAUGUGGUAAAGAUGGCGAUUAACUGCGCAGACUUGAAGGGACAAUGGAAUAGACUGUGAUUAAAAAUCAAAAUUAGGGGGAGGGCAGGUUGGGAGUGGGAGGGACUUACUCUGUAAAUUUUGUACAGAAAACAUUUCUAACAUUUUCUACACUUUCAGAAAGUAUUUAUAAUUUUCCGCUGAAUGUCAAACUGCUGAAAAAUUCUCUACAGAUGGGAGCUAGUUAAAUAUAGCGAUACAGUCGAAGCUCAACACAGCUCUUAGCUUCAACAGAGCUGCUUUGUGCUACGACAGUAAAAUGAUCUUGAAAUAUGUGUUUUGGAUUUUUUUUCUCUACCCUACCUGUGUUUCCUCAUGCAGUGUUUCGUAAAAGUGCCGCUGUCUCCUAUUACUUAUGCCAAUAAAGAAUUUGAAAAAGAUUGCAUCAAAUCCC